UACAGAGGUCUCAAGCGUUGUUCGGAUUCAUUGGGCGUAAAGGGUGCGUAGGCGGCGCGGUAAGUCGGGUGUGAAAUUUCGAGGCUUAACUUCGAAACUGCAUUCGAUACUGCCGUGCUUUGAGGACUGGAGAGGAGACUGGAAUUUACGGUGUAGCGGUGAAAUGCGUAGAUAUCGUAAGGAAGACCAGUGGCGAAGGCCGGGUCGCUGGCCCGGUACUGGACGCUGAGGUGCGAAAGCGUGGGGAGCAAACAGG
rnacentral:rRNA from 1 species